GCCUCCUUGGCUCAGUUGGUUAGAGCGCAGGUCUCAUAGCAAUAUGAGUAACUAAGCAAGUUACGUAAUCCUGAGGUCGCAAGUUCGACCCUUGCAGGGGGCA